rnacentral:rRNA from 1 species
UGCCUGCCAUCUCUUACCCAUGUCUUUUGAGUACCUUCGUUUCCUCGGUGGGUUCGCCCGCCGAUUGGACAACACUUAAACCCUUUGUAAUUGAAAUCAGCGUCUGAAAAAACUUAAUAGUUACAACUUUCAACAACGGAUCUCUUGGUUCUGGCAUCGAUGAAGAACGCAGCGAAAUGCGAUAAGUAGUGUGAAUUGCAGAAUUCAGUGAAUCAUCGAAUCUUUGAACGCACAUUGCGCCCCUUGGUAUUCCAUGGGGCAUGCCUGUUCGAGCGUCAUUUGUACCUUCAAGCUUUGCUUGGUGUUGGGUGUUUGUCUCGCCUCUGCGCGCAGACUCGCCUUAAAACGAUUGGCAGCCGGCGUAUUGAUUUCGGAGCGCAGUACAUCUCGCGCUUUGCACUCAUAACGACGACGUCCAAAAAGUACAUUUUUUACACUCUUGACCUCGGAUCAGGUAGGGAUACCCGCUGAACUUAAGCAUAUCAAUAAGCGGAGGAA